rnacentral:rRNA from 1 species
AUUGAACGCUGGCGGCAGGCCUAACACAUGCAAGUCGAACGGUAACAGGAAGCAGCUUGCUGCUUCGCUGACGAGUGGCGGACGGGUGAGUAAUGUCUGGGAAGCUGCCUGAUGGAGGGGGAUAACUACUGGAAACGGUAGCUAAUACCGCAUAAUGUCGCAAGACCAAAGAGGGGGACCUUCGGGCCUCUUGCCAUCGGAUGUGCCCAGAUGGGAUUAGCUUGUUGGUGGGGUAACGGCUCACCAAGGCGACGAUCCCUAGCUGGUAUGAGAGGAUGACCAGCCACACUGGAACUGAGACACGGUCCAGACUCCUACGGGAGGCAGCAGUGGGGAAUAUUGCACAAUGGGCGCAAGCCUGAUGCAGCCAUGCCGCGUGUAUGAAGAAGGCAUUCGGGUUGUAAAGUACUUUCAGCGGGGAGGAAGGGAGUAAAGUUAAUACCUUUGCUCAUUGACGUUACCCGCAGAAGAAGCACCGGCUAACUCCGUG